rnacentral:hammerhead_ribozyme from 1 species
AUUCAGCUGAUUCGUCCCAAAUAGGAUGAAACACGCGUCUUGGAU